UGAUUGCAUUUAGCUGGGACUAUUGUUCAUUGUUACUUAAAUCUAUAUUUUUAGUCUCAAUGUUCAUCAUGUAUGCCACCACUCCAUGCUCCCAAUGCUCAAAAUGAAGGAGAUGGCAUUGUUGUUAGAAGAAGCAUUGGAAGAUAAUCGAUGUUUACCACUAGUGUUAAUGACAUCAACCAAAGUGGGUUAAGAUUUGUGAAUGUAAGAUGCAAAUAUCCUGAACCCAAAAGGGCAUUGGUGCGAAUUUCAGAGUCUAGUUCGAACCCAAACAUGUUGUACUACUACUGCCCUGAAGCACCAAAAGGAUGUUGAUCUUCUCAUGGUGUGACCCUAUUGCUGCACUAAGACUUUUGCCUUAGGCAAUUAAUUCAGAAGCAGCUGUUGGUGAAAGAAUUCAGGGUCAACAGAUGAAAGAAGAGAUUUGUGUCUUGAAGAAAAGAAUUAAGCAUUUAGAGAAAGCGUAUGGAACGAUGAAGAUUGUAAUUGGUGUGCUUGUGGUGAUCUGUUUAGUGUUAUGUGUUAAAAAAUGACUUUACAAUGUUUAAUAA